rnacentral:miRNA from 1 species
ACCAGGAAUCAAACAUAUUAUUA